rfam:Negativicoccus succinicivorans DORA_17_25 Q612_NSC00299, whole genome shotgun sequence.
UUCAGUGGCAAUAGCUACGAGGCGACACCUGUACCCAUGCCGAACACAGUAGUUAAGCUCGUAAACGCCGAAAGUACUUGGCUGGAAACGGCCCGGGAGCAUAGGUAGCUGCUGAUU